CAGUAGUCAGCUUAGCUGGCUUGUAGAAGCCAGUUCAUUUCCUGUCCUGCUCCAAGGUGGAUCUCUCAGUCCUGGCUUCCGCAUCUUCUACUGUAUAUGUUUCCACGACUUCAACAUUUCUAGAAAUGUUUUAUCUCUAGGCUAUGUGGACAUCAGCAGAAUCAUCACCACAACUAAAUGAAAGAGAAUGGUGUUUCAUUCCAUCAAACUGUAUUGGAGAAACAAAGACCCUGCAAAGACCCCCACAAAAGAAGUUGCAUUCACACCUUACCUUGCUACACAUUUGACUGGAUUCUCCCUGGUCUUGGAAAGUGAAGUCUUGCUUUGCUUCUAGAAUUCCCGAAUCGGCACGUUCAUCUAGGCACAGGAAUCAAUAGAGGAACGGGAUCCCUAUUUUGAGAACUGCACCAGGGCCCCCAACCGUCUUAAUCUGGCCUUCUUCAUAUGCCUUUUUCUACCACCCUGAUAAAUUUGUAAAUGAGGGUGGGGAUGAAGAAGCUAUCAAGAGCUUUUAAACAACCGAAGACAAAGAAAACCUACUGGAAGAUCAAGCGGAUAUGUAGACCAGGGCUGUGGAGUUGGAACCAAAGAUGCAAUGUGAUCUUGUCCGGACGUUCCUGUACCAAACCUGCAUGCCCAGAUCCUCCAAAAGUUUCCAGUGCUGCAGUACUGAGAUUUUUGCUGCUACUGAUAAUUUGGAAAGAAGAUCUUUAGAUUUCAAUGUGCUGUUUACGCCUUUGACAAAAUAUAAUAGAAACAGUUCUGGGCAUAAGUGAAUGUCUUCUUUCGUAAUAUUAUUGAGUUCAUCACAAAUCAUAAUCCAAAAUGAAUUGAUCUUUGGGCAUGUCCACCAGAGAUGAAAAUACGUUCCCUUCUGCGUGCAGCCUCUCCAAUAUAGUGGUGAUGUCGAUGAGGAAAAGUGAGAGCUGAACUGGUAUAAAAUACCAUCUGUUGAAUAUUUUUAAUAACAUUUCUUUAUGAUUGGCUGAACCAGUCUUGUUAUAUUUGAAUGCAUAUGAUGCAAUCCAGUCAGAUAAAUCCAAGUCAAUCCCCAAAACUUUUUCCCACUGACUAGCACUUCCCAUAGAAUUAUCCAAUAAUACUUUAUAUACUCUGGAGACCAGACCUUUCCCAUUACAUACUUUGUCUAAUAGAACCUUUUCAAAGGGUGUAAUAGUUUUUGUAGUGUGCAUUUUGACCUGAGGGUCUUUCAAUAUAUGUUCCAAUUUAUGUGUAUGCAACCAGUCUAGAUCCCAUAGCGGGAUAUCAACUUUAAGUUGCUGAAUAGAGACUGGAUGGCCCUGUGAAAAGAAGUCUCUCAGGUGAAAAGCCUUUUCCUUCCCAUUUCCCAAUGUAUUUUUAAAAAUAUUCCUCACCAGCAUUUGGAUAAGCCUAGAAAGGAGUCAAAGGUGAAUAGAUGAGACAAUUUGGUUUGCCAAGUUUUCCAUAUAGUGAAAGUAGCUUCCGUGAAGGGAGGGAUUUGUAAUGGUUUUUAACCAGGUAUUACGGAUUGGCAAAAAAGGUGGAAUCCAUAAUUUGCCUGAGAGCAACGUAAAAUCCUCUAAUCUUAUCUAAGCCUUUUUUACUGAUCAUUAUAAACCCCAAUUGUCUGAGAUGAAAUGCUGUAUAAUAUAUAAAUUGGAGAGUCCCCAACCCUCUAAUCUUGGAUGUGUAUAAAAAAGAGGACAUGGCUAACCUUGUUUUUUUAUUCUGAAAAAUGAACUUCUUUAAAUUAUUCUGCCAUUUAUGGAUUGUACUAUAAUUAAUGAAUAAGGAGAGAACUUGAAAUAAAUAGAGAAAUCUGGGUAUUA